rnacentral:lncRNA from 1 species
CCUUGCCCUCUUCCAUAUUGGCAGCCAUCACUAAUUGACUGUGAAAGUGGAGAAUUCAAUGGUUUAAGGUGAUCUCUUCUCUGAACUCCAAAACAGUUUGUGGAUGGAAAUCAGCUGAAGCAAAACAUUGGUUCAAUUACACUGUCAAGGGAUAUAGCUCCUGUACAACAAAGAGUGACCUUUCAGAGAAAAGAUGAAGCCAGCCUCAGGUUAACUCUGAAGGCCUCAGCUCAUCCAACUGAGAGCAGAUUAGCCCAGAUGGAGACAUUUUCAACACGGUUCUGUCUGACCAAUCAGCGACAGCUGGGAUUAGCCAAAUACCUUCUCUCAUCUGCUUGCUCACAGAAAGGGUUCUGUAAAAAGGUCUCAAUGUGAAAGAAUAUUGGGCUUUACAUGAAUUAUCUUAGUGAGGACCUCAUCCUGAUGGCUACUGAUGUUUUGCUGUUGAUUUUUCAAGCAAAGUG